GUCCGCUCCUGCACGGCCAGAGGUGCCUGGGAAGCUCUCGGUUCUCCUGCGAAGGCGCCUGCUUUGCUGCCAGGGGAAGUGGAGGAUCCCGCAGUGAUGGGAGGGAGGAGGUCUCACUGAAGUGGGCUCUGCCUCCUGUGAUUGACGAUUACAUCCUUUAAGACGAAAAGCUGAGACAAAGUCUCUGAUGAGAACGUUUAACACUUUCACUGCUGGAGCACUUCCAAGUGAAACCUCCACGCUGGGAUUUGGUUUCAAGCACUUUCCCCGUCCUUCCUUUCUCGCAGCAAACUACAAAGCAAAGGCAGCCCACGUGUUGGAUCACUGGGAGAAUCACAGCAGCGAUCCUGCGUUGCACUCAGGAUACUUCCUUUCCCC
rnacentral:lncRNA from 1 species